UACAGAGGGGGCAAGCGUUAUUCGGAAUUAUUGGGCGUAAAGGGCGCGUAGGCGGCUUUGCAAGUGACGGGUGAAAUCCCUCGGCUUAACCGAGGAACUGCCUGUCAGACUGCAUGGCUUGAGACCGGGAGAGGUGAGUGGAAUUCCCAGUGUAGCGGUGAAAUGCGUAGAUAUUGGGAGGAACACCAGUGGCGAAGGCGGCUCACUGGACCGGUACUGACGCUGAGGCGCGGAAAAGCGUGGGGGAGCGAACAGG
rnacentral:rRNA from 1 species